UGGACGUUGGCCGACCGGCGCGAGGCAACAGGCUUUUAACCUGUAUUAACUGAGUUCGAUUCUCAGGCGUUCAA
rnacentral:tRNA from 1 species